UAAGACAGAGGUGCCGAGCGUUAGGCGGAAUCACUGGGCUUAAAGCGUGUGUAGGCGGGCCGUUAAGUACCUUGUGAAAUCCCCCGGCUCAACCGGGGAACGGCUGGGUAUACUGGCGGUCUUGAGGGACCUAGGGGCGGACGGAACAAGCGGUGGAGCGGUGAAAUGCGUAGAUAUCGCUUGGAACGCCGACGGUGAAAACAGUCCGCUGGGGGUCACCUGACGCUGAGACACGAAAGCCAGGGGAGCGAACGGGAUUAGAUACCCCGGUAGUCCUGGCCCUAAACGAUGUCCACUAGGUCGCCGCCCCUUUGACGGGGGUGGCGGCCGAAGCAAAAGUGCUAAGUGGACCGCCUGGGAAGUACGGUCGCAAGGCUA
rnacentral:rRNA from 1 species